UUUUUUUUUUCUUUUUCUUUUUUAAAGAAAGAGAGAGGGUCUCAGUAUGUUGCCCAGGGUGGCUUGUAACUCCUGGGCUCAAGGGAUCCUCUGACCUCAGCCUCCAAAGCAGCUGGGACUACAGAUGUGGGCCACUGUACCCAGCUCUUUUUUUUUUUUUUAAAGAAAAAAAAAGUUUUAUUUGGAUAAAGAAAAUAAAGGCGGACAACAGAAUUAACAGUGACUUAAUUUUUAUUUUUGCCUAUUUUCCCCUCUAUAUAAGAAACUAUAAAUGUUUUCUCACUUUAUUAAUUAAUUGGACUAAUCAUUUAAUGCAAUCCCCUCCCAACCAAUAACAUUAUUUUAAAGCAAUAAUGGGUCUUACAGUUGAAGGCAUCCUAGAAUCAAGAAUAUAUGCAAAACAGUACACCUUAAUGAAAUUCAGGUAUGGCUGGGUAUACAGGUUGGAAAAUAAAAGUUCCCAAGGACAUCAGAGGUAUCUUCAAGAUACAAUUUAGAAGGGUCAAGUUGCGCAGAGGAGGAUAAGAGUGUACACUAAGAAAAUAAACUCUUUUUAUUCCUUCUCCACACAUUUAUCUUAAGAAUUCAUCCUUAAAAGUUUUUUAAACUAUGAUAUUAAUCAACUCAGAACCUGUUUUAUAUAUGUAUAAGCCCUCUUGAAUUUCUUCUGGAUAAGCAGAACAUAGUGAAUUAAAAUUAAAUUAUAGUAAAAGUAAUGCUAGAGUUAACAGAAGUGGGAAAAUAGAUGGUAGAAAAGAGGCAAAAAGCAAUACAGAGCUAAGAAUUUCUGUAUCUUAUACAUAUGGAGUCAAUACAAAAUGUCUAAACUUGAUAGAACAAGAAAUAGAAAUUUAAGCAUGUUAUUCAAGUUACAAAUGUAACUGACAGAGGCUAGUCUGAAGGUAGUGAGUUACCUCAGUUGACUGUUCAGUUAGUUGCAGAUCAAACUCCUUGUUCUACUCUUUCCCCUCUUUCCACUACUGCAUAUGUGACUAGUCUAAAAAAUGCUUUUAAUCGAAAUAAAUUUUUUUUAGGCCAGGCACAGUCGCGGAGCACUACAGCCUCAAACUCCCAACCUCAAGUGAUCCUCCUGCCGCAGCCUCUUAAGUAGCUUGAACUACAGGUGUGCACCACCACACCCAAAUCUCCGAAAUCCUUAUAUUAAAGGCAAUAUUCUAGUCAGAGAAUAUUAUAAAACAAUUAGAAAAUACUAACAUAGUAAAUUCAGACUUGCUUUUUUUCCAAGGAGAAAUGUUAUUUGUAUCAUCCCAUCAAACAUUUUUGGUAUUUAACACUCAGAAAAGUGAGUUAAAACAAAAACAUGUCACCACAAUAACAAUUCGAAGUAUUAUUAGUUACUAUAAAGGAUUGCAGAGAAUACUGUUGCUCUCCAUGAGCUCACACUACAAUAUCUAAAACAAAAAGU
rnacentral:lncRNA from 1 species